rnacentral:lncRNA from 1 species
UUUAAAUGAUUUAAAAUUAAAUUGUAAAAAUAAAUUAAAAAUAAAAUGAAACAAAAAUAUUAAUAAAUGCAAAAAUGAUUUAAAAAAAUGUGAGAAAAAUGUAUGUGAUGCAAAAUAUUUUUAGAGACUUUGUGUAAAAAAUUUGGAUAAAAAAUGUUUAGAAAUCAAAGAUAAAUUAAUUUGGAAAUAAGAGAAAUAAAAUAAAAGAAAAGAAAAAGAAAUAAAAUAGAAAAAGGGCGCCAACGGUCAGAAUAUU